rnacentral:lncRNA from 1 species
UGAUGGUAAAUACCGAGUGUCGACUGGAUUGAAGGAUGCAAAGUAUUGAUCCUGGGUGUGUCUGUGAGGGUGUUGCCAAAGGAGGUUAACAUUUGAGUCAGUGGGCUGGGGAAGGCAGAUCCAACCUCAAUCUGGUGCGCCAUCUAAUAAGCUGCCAAUGAAUAUAAAGCAGGCAGAAAAACAUAAGAAGGUGAGACUGGCCUAGCCUCCCAGCCUGCAUCUUUCUCCCAUGCUGAAUGCUUCCUGUCCUCGAACAUCAGACUCCAAGUUCUUUAGUUUUGAGACUCGGACUGGCUUCCUUGCUCCUCAAGCUUGCAGACAGCCUAUUGUGGGACCUUGUGAUCAUAGAUCCUUGAUUAAUACAGAUGGGGUCCCACUAUGCUGCCCAGGCUGCUUUCAAACAGGGUCUUAACUCUGUCACCCAGGCUGGAGUGCAGUGGUGUGACCACAGCCACUGCAGGCUCAACCUCUGGGACUCAGGUGAUCCUCCCAUCUCAGCCUCCCAAGUAGCUGGGACUACAGGUUGCUUCUUCCAGAUCCCUUUUGAUCUACUUUCAGCUAUGGAUUCAUGAGAAUCAAGACUAAGCAGCCUGAAUUGAAGGAGUAACAGUAUCACCUAACAAUGAUUUUGCUGCCAUAGUAGCUGUUUGUAUACUGGCCAUAUGCCUAGGUAAAAUGAGGCCAGAUCACUCUCAAGAGUUUUCUAUCAGAGUUGGUGGUGAACUACUGCUCACGGAUAAUGACGAGAAACCCCAGCUGAGGAGGCAAAUAUACUCAAGGAAAGUAAUAGUUUCCAAAUGCCUGGCAGUGCCAGGAAGGGGCCAUGUCCAUGGACCACUAUGUAAGGAUAUCUCAGUCUCUAGUCCAGCGUGGUUUAUGGUGCCAAAUAAGUGCCAGGUGAACUCACUACAUCUGACAAAAUCUCAAGGAACCAAGUUUACCAGAUAAUAUUUAUGAUUAUGUGAAAAAGACUGAGGAAAUCACUCAAGUGAUCCAUCAUACAGCACCUCCAGUUCCAAAGAAUACUGACUUACUUCAGCUGUACUGGUCUGGAGCUGCACAUUCUUUUCAGACAACUCUUGUUCCAGUAAGUUCAGGCUAGAGUGCAAUGGUGCAACCUCAGCUCACUGCAACCUCCGCUUCCCAGGUUCAAGCGAUUCUCCUGCUUCAGCCUCCCUGGUUGCUGGGAUUACAGGCUUUGUUAUCAGGAUGAUGCUGGCCUCAUAAAAUGAGUUAGGGAGGAUUCCCUCUUUUUCUAUUGAUUGGAAUAGGUUCAGAAGGAAUGGUACCAGCUCCUCCUUGUACCUCUGGUAGAAUUCGGCUGUGAAUCCGUCUGAUCCUGGACUUUUUUCGGUUGGUGACUCUUCUCCUGUAACAGAGCCUCCUUCUUAGAAACUAUGGCCUCCCGUUUCUUUAAGUCUGCUUCCAGCUCCUCUAAUUCUUGGCGUUGGUUCAGAACUUUCUCUACUUCUUCAUCUAACCAUUUCUUUUGCUCAUCCAAUUUCUACAUUAAAAUUAAAAAAAAAGUUACUUGUUUUUCCUUCUGCCAUAAAAAUUAUAUGGUAAUAAUAGAAUUUCAGAUUGGCUGAAAUCUCUUAAAUGAACAUUUAAAAACUAUCACUCAGAGUAACUCAGGUAGCCGUCUGAGAUCCUAAAGACAUCAGUGGUUCUAGUCAAGAUGUAGCUAUGUUGUUUUAUAAAGAAUUAAAAUUUACUCCCCAGAUAUGUUAAACAGUCUAGGAUUUUUUAGCCUGACGAAGAAAGGGCUGAUAAUUUUCUAUGCCUAUAUUAAGAACAUGCUGGAAUCUUUUACUCUGUUGUAGUGGUGCACAGUUCCAUCACAGCACUUACACUGGUGGCUGCCCUACGUAUCUAUCUCCCCAGCUUGAGCUCCUUGAUUGAUUGCAGGGGCUGUAGUUUUUACCCGUCUAUCCACAUGGCUGGUAUAUUGCCUGGGCCACAGUAGGCAUUCAAUAAAAUGUUAAAUGAAUGAGUGAAUGAAUGCCUGAUUCAGUCAGUCAAUGAAGUGAAUAAAUGAAUACACACAGUGGAAGACACAGAUGAUGGAGGAUGGAAGGAAAGCCAAUUUGCAUUGUAGCUUGUCAACCUCAAAUAAUUAUUUUUAAAAAAGAAAAAAAACAAAAAUAAAAAAUUGCUGAAAAGAUCUCCAAAACAA